rnacentral:rRNA from 1 species
CCUACGGGUGGCAGCAGUGAGGAAUAUUGGUCAAUGGACGCAAGUCUGAACCAGCCAUGCCGCGUGCAGGAAGACGGCUCUAUGAGUUGUAAACUGCUUUUGUACGAGGGUAAACGCAGAUACGCGUAUCUGUCUGAAAGUAUCGUACGAAUAAGGAUCGGCUAACUCCGUGCCAGCAGCCGCGGUAAUACGGAGGAUUCAAGCGUUAUCCGGAUUUAUUUGGUUUAAAGGGUGCGUAGGCGGUCGGAUAAGGUAGAGGUGAAAGCCCGAGGCCCAACUUCGGAAUUGCCGCUGAUACUGUUCGGCUAGAGAGUAGCUGCGGUAGGCGGAAUGUACGGUGUAGCGGUGAAAUGCUUAGAGAUCGUACAGAACACCGAUUGCGAAGGCAGCUUACCAAGCUACUUCUGACGUUGAGGCACGAAAGCGUGGGGAGCAAACAGGAUUAGAUACCCCUGUAGUC